AGCGCGUUCAACUUUAGUCCAGAAAGAAGAAACUGCGCUUCGGGGGGUUCAGGUUCUCCUCAACCAGGCUUGGUAGUUUGGAUUUGCAGGACAGCCAGCCCAGAUCGCGUAGUUAAGAGUGCUAUAGGUCUUUAGGACCCUUGAAAGGAGGCGAAUUUAUGGCCACAGGGAGUAGCGAAAGUGGAGCUCCGCUGCAGCAGGGCUGCGCUAGUCCCGCCAAGCUAGGAGGAGCAGGACACCUGGGGCACGCUCUCUAGCCUAAACCCGGAAUAUAAAUGUGCCCGGGCUUAGCAGGCAAAACUAGGGCUGCAGCCACAGGGCUGGACGGACUGUUUCAGCUGCGGAUUACCCACUUUUUCUGGUUCUUAGUUCUAGGAGGUCCUCGGUACGAGUGCCGGGAGUUAGAGAGGCGCUCUAGGAAACUCAAGUUCACUGUGGCGGUGGUCUUGCCUGUCACCUAAAGCAGGCACCCCCAACGCCAUUGAAGAAACUCCCCCCCCCAGAUCUGGUCCGGAAGGAAGUCAUGAGCCUUUCGGCGCGGCAGGAGUUUCUGCCACAUCUCCCCUGGGACCGGGAGAGGAAGAAAGGAGGCGCAGGCCGUACCCAGACCUCCAGGCUAGGACCUGACCUGCAGGGGUAGAGACUGCUUAGAUCCACAAACGGUAGUAGCUCCCGGGGCAGAGGCCAUUUUGAACCUCCGUUCCCUCGUUUGUGAAAAAUAGUCCUAAUAGCCAGGAUCCAGGAAAGGUAUAGACACUGAGGAAGAUCACCUGUGCAAAACUGGCUGACAACUUGGUUCACACUUUCCAGUCCGUGAAAAUGGAAGGCCACUUCCCAGGGGUGAAAUAGAGCCCUUUGGAAGCUUAGGAUUCUCAGAAUCAGGUUGGAAGAACUGGGCAAAGAGGGACAAAGGUGACGAACCAUCAGGAGAGCAAAGGAACUUCUAAGUACAGUCUCUUGACUGCUUGUAUUUUCAAACGCAACGGAUUAGGAGGAAAUUGCGGUUGGGUCAGAGGUAGAGAUGAAGAUUCACAAGGGAGAAGAGAGGCCCGCAGCCCUCGACUGCUAGGCUCAGGGUCAGACCUCCUGGUGAGCAGACUCCGGGCUUCUGAGUCAGGCUGCAAAGAUGAAUGAAGAUUCUGUGAAAAGCAGAGCGUACCAGAUCACCUGUGCUCCGGAAGGGGGUGGGUGCAUGCGUGGGAUCCCACCCAAGGUUUACUCCGAGCACUGUUUAUCUAAGAAAGGGGUUAUAAGUUCACAGAAGUGGGGCCCUUCACUUCACCUUGCUUUCUAGUUUGUUGUGACAUGUGACAGAUUCUUGCCUCUUGUGAUUCUGCCCUGUAGAACUCUCCUGACUCCCAGCGCCACUCAGGCAGGAUAAUGAAGUGUUCAGAGUAAA